AGUUUCCUUGCACAAGCUCUCCUCUUUUUUGCUUGCUGCCAUCCACGUAAGAUGUGACUUGAUCCUCCUUGCCUUCCACCAUAAUUGUGAGGCUUCCCCAGUCACGUGGAACUAUCCUUCAGUACAAUGUUGCACAGUCACUGUGAGAAUAUCCAUCUGUCCUGAACUUAGAGAAAAUAGAUGAACCCACGGGCAGGGUCGAGCAACUCUGGAUGGGAGGAAUGAACAACUCUGGACACCACCUUUAUGAACUGUAACACUGUAACACUCACCUGGAAGGUCUGCAGUUUCAGUCCUGAGGCCAGCGAGACCAGGAACCCACCGGAAGGAACGAACAACUCCAGAUGUGCCGCCUUUAAGAGCUGUAACACUCACCGUUAAGGCCUGCAGCUUCACUCCUGAAGUCAGCGAGACCAUGAGCCCACCAGAAAGAAGAAACCCCGGACACAUCUGAAAAUAUGAAGGAA
rnacentral:lncRNA from 10 species